rnacentral:rRNA from 1 species
UACGUAGGGGCCGAGCGUUGUCCGGAGUUAUUGGGCGUAAAGCGCGCGCAGGCGGCCUCGCGCGCCCGACGGUGAAAGCCCCCGGCUUAACCGGGGAGGGUCGUUGGGGACGGCGGGGCUUGAGGGCGGGAGAGGUCGGUGGAAUUCCCGGUGUAGUGGUGAAAUGCGUAGAGAUCGGGAGGAACACCUGUGGCGAAGGCGGCCGACUGGGCCGACCCUGACGCUGAGGCGCGAAGGCGUGGGGAGCGAACGGG